rnacentral:rRNA from 1 species
CUCAGGAUGAACGCCGGCGGUGUGCCUAAUACAUGCAAGUCGUACGCACUGGCCCAACUGAUUGAUGGUGCUUGCACCUGAUUGACGAUGGAUCACCAGUGAGUGGCGGACGGGUGAGUAACACGUAGGUAACCUGCCUCGGAGCGGGGGAUAACAUUUGGAAACAGAUGCUAAUACCGCAUAACAACAAAAGCCACAUGGCUUUUGUUUGAAAGAUGGCUUUGGCUAUCACUCUGGGAUGGACCUGCGGUGCAUUAGCUAGUUGGUAAGGUAACGGCUUACCAAGGCAAUGAUGCAUAGCCGAGUUGAGAGACUGAUCGGCCACAAUGGAACUGAGACACGGUCCAUACUCCUACGGGAGGCAGCAGUAGGGAAUCUUCCACAAUGGGCGCAAGCCUGAUGGAGCAACACCGCGUGAGUGAAGAAGGGUUUCGGCUCGUGAAGCUCUGUUGUUGGAGAAGAACGUGCGUGAGAGUAACUGUUCACGCAGUGACGGUAUCCAACCAGAAAGUCACGGCUAACUACGUGCCAGCAGCCGCGGUAAUACGUAGGUGGCAAGCGUUAUCCGGAUUUAUUGGGCGUAAAGCGAGCGCAGGCGGUUGCUUAGGUCUGAUGUGAAAGCCUUCGGCUUAACCGAAGAAGUGCAUCGGAAACCGGGCGACUUGAGUGCAGAAGAGGACAGUGGAACUCCAUGUGUAGCGGUGGGAUGCGUAGAUAUAUGGAAGAACACCAGUGGCGAAGGCGGCUGUCUGGUCUGCAACUGACGCUGAGGCUCGAAAGCAUGGGUAGCGAACAGGAUUAGAUACCCUGGUAGUCCAUGCCGUAAACGAUGAG